AAAAUUUUUUUUAUUGGAGAUAUUAAUAGAACAACUUAGACACCGAUUAAAUCUGAAUCGCAAGACUCUCGUAGGUUUACAUUGAACGUACUGUGAGGUGGGAAUCAAUUGGCGCUUAGGGAUUGUCCUUUAAAUCUUUAGCAUUUCAAAAGUUACAUAGUUGAUGUUUGAUAUCAAAGUGCCCAACAAUGUGAAGCUAAAACGAUUAAAUAAGUUAAUGUAUAUUCUUUUUGUCAAAAGUGACACGUAU